GGGCCGGUAGCUCAGCCUGGUAGAGCACCUGUUGACGGAUACAAGGUCGGGGUGAAACUUUUAAUCAGGUGGUCGCGAGUCCGAACAACCCAUUUCGAUUAAGGAAAUCUCGUCCGGCCCA
rnacentral:tRNA from 1 species